AUAACACGAGGGCUGUCCAUGGUGGAGAGUCUAAGUAGAAGAUGGUCCAUACCCCUCUACCAGAUUGUGUCAAUGAUGGACUACAAGGCAAGCUACAGCAUACGUAGGAUGUGUUAUAACCUGAUGUUCAUGAAAAUUGUUGAUUUUCUAUUCCAAUUCCCAAAGCCAAGAACCCCACGGGAAAGCCUGAGGGCGAACGCCCACGGGCCUUAAUAUAAGCAUCUUCCACAAGCGGUUUCUGCUCUUGCCUUCAC